GACGAACGCUGGCGGCGUGCCUAAAACAUGCAAGUCGAACGGUGUCCGCAAGGGCACAGUGGCGAACGGCUGAGUAACACGUGAGUGACCUGUCCUUGGGUGGGGGAUAACAGUCCGAAAGGAUUGCUAAUACCGCAUAAGUCCUCCGGAGUAGAGUCCGGAGGGGAAAGGUUUUUCGCCCGAGGAGGGGCUCGCGGCCCAUCAGGUAGUUGGUGAGGUAACGGCUUACCAAGCCUAUGACGGGUAGCUGGUCUGAGAGGAUGGCCAGCCAGACUGGGACUGAGACACGGCCCAGACUCCUACGGGAGGCAGCAGUUAGGAAUCUUGCGCAAUGGGGGAAACCCUGACGCAGCGACGCCGCGUGGGCGAUGAAGGCCUUCGGGUCGUAAAGCCCUUUUCCGAGGGACGAUAAUGACGGUACCUCGGGAAUAAGCCCCGGCUAACUACGUGCCAGCAGCCGCGGUAAUACGUAGGGGGCAAGCGUUGUCCGGAUUUACUGGGCGUAAAGAGCGCGCAGGCGGCUCUGCAAGUCGAUCGUGAAAUCCUCCGGCUCAACCGGAGGGGGUCGGUCGAUACUGUGGGGCUUGAGGGCGGUAGGGGGAGAUGGAAUUCCCGGUGUAGUGGUGAAAUGCGUAGAUAUCGGGAGGAACACCGAUGGCGAAAGCGAUCUCCUGGGCCGUUCCUGACGCUGAGGCGCGAAAGCGUGGGGAGCGAACUGAAUUAGAUACUCAGGUAGUCCACGCCCUAAACGAUGGACACUAGGUGUGGGGGGUAUCGACCCCUCCCGUGCCGCAGCUAACGCAAUAAGUGUCCCGCCUGGGGAGUACGGCCGCAAGGCUAA
rnacentral:rRNA from 1 species